rnacentral:rRNA from 1 species
GAGUUUGAACCUGGCUCAGGAUGAACGCUGGCGGCGUGCUUAACACAUGCAAGUCGAACGAAGCGUGUAAAACAAUCCUUCGGGUGCGUUUUAUAUGACUGAGUGGCGGACGGGUGAGUAACGCGUGGGGAACCUGCCGUAUGCAGGGGGACAACAGUCAGAAAUGACUGCUAAUACCGCAUAAGCACACAAUGCUGCAUGGCAUGGUGUGAAAAGAUUUAUCGGCAUACGAUGGCCCCGCGUCUGAUUAGCCAGUUGGCAGGGUAAUGGCCUACCAAAGCAACGAUCAGUAGCCGGCUUGAGAGAGUGACCGGCCACAUUGGGACUGAGACACGGCCCAGACUCCUACGGGAGGCAGCAGUGGGGAAUAUUGCACAAUGGGGGAAACCCUGAUGCAGCGACGCCGCGUGAGUGAUGAAGUAUUUCGGUAUGUAAAGCUCUAUCAGCAGGGAAGAAUAGGUCAUCAGCCUUUGGCUGGUGACAUGAAUG